rnacentral:rRNA from 1 species
CAGGCCUAACACAUGCAAGUCGAACGCACCGCAAGGUGAGUGGCAGACGGGUGAGUAACACGUGACUAACCUACCUUCGAGUGGGGGAUAACCUCGGGAAACCGAGGCUAAUACCGCAUAACAUCGCAAGAUCAAAGCAGCAAUGCGCUGGAAGAGGGGGUCGCGGCAGAUUAGCUAGUUGGCGGGGUAAUGGCCCACCAAGGCAGUGAUCUGUAUCCGGCCUGAGAGGGCGCACGGACACACUGGAACUGAAACACGGUCCAGACUCCUACGGGAGGCAGCAGUGGGGAAUUUUGCGCAAUGGGGGAAACCCUGACGCAGCAACGCCGCGUGGAGGAUGAAGUCUCUUGGGACGUAAACUCCUUUCGAUUGGGAAGAUAAUGACGGUACCAAUAGAAGAAGCCCCGGCUAACUUCGUGCCAGCAGCCGCGGUAAUACA